GAUGAACGCUGGCGGCGUGCCUAAUACAUGCAAGUCGAGCGAACGGAUGAGAAGCUUGCUUUUCUGAUGUUAGCGGCGGACGGGUGAGUAACACGUGGAUAACCUACCUAUAAGACUGGGAUAACUUCGGGAAACCGGAGCUAAUACCGGAUAAUAUUUUGAACCGCAUGGUUCAAAAGUGAAAGACGGUCUUGCUGUCACUUAUAGAUGGAUCCGCGCUGCAUUAGCUAGUUGGUAAGUUAACGGCUUACCAAGGCAACGAUGCAUAGCCGACCUGAGAGGGUGAUCGGCCACACUGGUACUGAGACACGGUCCAGACUCUACGGGAGGCAGCAGUAGGGAAUCUUCCGCAAUGGGCGAGAGCCUGACGGAGCAACGCCGCGUGAGUGAUGAAGGUCUUCGGCUCGUAAAACUCUGUUAUUAGGGAAGAACAUAUGUGUAAGUAACUGUGCACAUCUUGACGGUACCUAAUCAGAAAGCCACGGCUAACUCCGU
rnacentral:rRNA from 1 species